UUUAGACUACUUCUAAAACUUUUCAAUUAAUUAUGCUAAGUUGUAUAGAUGCACAGUGAAAUUUAAACUUAGCAACAGUUUGAUGUAUAGAAUGUGACUUGAUUGAAUAUGCUUGCAACUAAAGGAUGCGCGGAUAAGAGUUAAGCAAGCAAUUUAUCUAAGUAAGUAAGUGAGUAAGUUAGACAAUGACAAGAGGCAUUACAAAUACAACAAACAUAUAGUGGUUCGGUGCACCUCAGCACCUACAUCCACUCCCCAAGACCUCUUGGGAAUUUCACUAUAAUCCUACAGAUUACAGCCGGUUGUUUUACAAGCUCACAACCCAACUUGUUGUUUUGCGAGAUAACAACGAACUCGGUCGGUUUUCACAGGCUCACCAACUAGAACCAACCGAUUGUUUUCCCGGGUUCACAAUCAAACCCAGUUGGUUUUCCCACAGGCUCACCAACCACAACCUUACAAUGAUUGUUUUCCGGGUUCACAAUCAACCCAGUUGAUUUUUCCAAAGGCUCACCAACAACAACCUAACACCGUUGGUUUUUCCUUUGGCUCACCAACAAACCUUAAUCCCUUGAUUCAAUCCCUUGAUUGAAUCAAGUUACAAGAUAUUAAAACAAAGAUUAAA
rnacentral:lncRNA from 1 species